CCUACGGGUGGCAGCAGUAGGGAAUAUUGCUCAAUGGGGGAAACCCUGAAGCAGCAACGCCGCGUGGAGGAUGAAGGUUUUCGGAUUGUAAACCCCUUUUGUCGAGAAGAAAAAGACGGUAUCUAACGAAUAAGCACCGGCUAACUCCGGGCCAGCAGGCGCGGUAAUACGGAGGGUGCAAGCGUUACUCGGAAUCACGGGGCUUAAAGAGCGCGUAGGCGGGAUAGCAAGUCAGAUGUGAAAUCCUAGGGCUUAACCUGAGAACUGCAUUUGAAACUGUUAUUCUAGAGUAUGGGAGAGGUAGGUGGAAUUCGUGGUGUAGGGGUGAAAUCCGUAGAGAUCAAGAGGAAUACUCAUUGCGAAGGCGACCUGCUAGAACAUAACUGACGCUGAUGCGCGAAAGCGUGGGGAGCAAACAGGAUUAGAUACCCCUGUAGUC
rnacentral:rRNA from 1 species